UACAGAGGUGCCAAGCGUUAGGCGGAAUCACUGGGCUUAAAGCGCGCGUAGGCGGAUGUCUAAGUACCUUGUGAAAUCCCACGGCCCAACCGUGGAACUGCUGGGUAUACUGGGCAUCUUGAGGCACUCAGGGGCGAGCGGAACAAACGGUGGAGCGGUGAAAUGCGUAGAUAUCGUUUGGAACGCCAAUGGUGAAAACAGCUCGCUGGGAGUGUCCUGACGCUGAGGCGCGAAAGCCAGGGGAGCAAACGGG
rnacentral:rRNA from 1 species